CGCAAAAGAAACAAAAAGAAUCGAAAUAUUUAACUUUCUAAGUAACGCACUACAAUCUUCGUUCAACAAGACUGUUGUUUAACAUGGCUGUAUAUUUACAGCUAUAUGUAUGUAUGCAUUAUGCAUAUACAAAUAGCGUUUGUUGUAUCCUCCAAAAUAAAUCAGCAUUUGUUUGAUAUUUUCAUUAAUUUCUCAAAGAAAUAUUUUGGAUAAAAAUUGUUCAACUUUUAGUCCUCCGAAUCUGAAAAAUUUCCAACAAAUUGUUUUCUAAACAGAAAAUCAAAGUCGCUUUGAUUUUUUAAAAAUGAUAUCGUUUAUUCUGGAUUUUACAGAGUUAUAGCUACCGUCAAAGUGAAUCCAACGACUUACUAUAUUAUGACCUUCCGAUAACCUUGAAUCAAAAUUUCGGUUUUUUAAGGUUAUCCGAAAGUCAUGGUGUAGUUACUAUGUACUCUGUAGUAGGUUGUUGAAGAUUACAGUCUUUUUAAGCUAAAUUUAUUUUUACAACCUGCUCCUGGUACAACUCAUAAUACACAGAGUGAAAUUUUGAAAAAAAUGUUAAAGAUGAAGCACUGAUCAUUUUGCAUGAAGGCAAUUUCUUUUGGAGAAUACUGUAUGUUUUGACACGCACUAACACUACGCUAGUACAGUGUUACUCACACAGGAGCAGUUAAUUCUUUUACUUACUCAUGUACUUUACAUACAAAAAGCUGAUUAAUUCGGAAACUAUCGUGACUUUUCAUAUUCUUAGCCUAUAUAUUGUAUAAACUUAAACGUUUUCAACAAUCUCAAUAUACAUGUGAUAGCGGAUAAAGCUUUAUCGAACUAUGUCGUAAUCAUUACGAUAAAUAUACACGCGCCGCAAAUAUUUAAUUUUGAUACCGAUGUUAUAAUUCAUCAAUUUGAAGAGAUCUGAUAAAAAUUCCAACGGAAAUCACAUUGAGGACACGCAGUGAAGUCAUGCUCGACUAUAUGUCGUCCCUAAAAAAAUUCCGCAAUUAAACAUACAACAUACAACUUCGUGCAAGAAGUUUAGCAGACUAGUUGACGAAGAAACUAACUGUAGCUAUACAAAAAGCUUUUGCGGCAUAAAUUAUAUCAUAUUAUUCUACUAACGUGAUGGAAACUUUGAAAUAUUAUUGGCUACUCUUAUCAACAUGCGAGCACCACGCAAAUGAUCGCUUUUCUUUACGUGCAGCCGAACCAGAAUAUAUGAAUGUAAAAGUCUCAAAUUAUUCUGCAUUUCUAAUGGUAUAGUAAUCUUGUUUCUCUUCAAUUCUUGAUACAUACUAAACAAUACAUCGUGUGCAUUCCUGUAAUUUCCUGUUUAAAAAAUUAUUUAAAAAGAUUUUAUAGAACUAUAUAUUACAUGUAUACGAUGUACAUUAUGUACAUUAGAAACAAACCAUUAAUUUGUUCUUCGUUCGCUAUUAUAAUUGCUGUUUUUGCAGCAUCCCUAUAUUGUUUUAUAGCCAUGUACAAUCGGAACAAGUAUUUAGGAUCCUGUCAAAUUACACAAAUGUAAUUAUUACAUUUUUACAUAGCAGAGAUUCAAAAUUAUGCAAUUACCUUUGGCAAUCCAUCUCCGCCUAAUAAAAAGUCUAUCAUUUGAUUUGAUAGUUUAUCAUCUUUCGAAGAAGCAACUGUGUCGAUAGCUAAUGACAAAACUUCGUUUUCGUCUGCCAUUAAUUGAGCAGCUUUCAACAAAUGUCGUAACGCCUUUUGAUAUUCCUUCGCAUGAAAAUAAUAUUUUCCUGCCAACAAAUUGUUUUUCUGAGAUUCAAAGUGCAUGGCUAAGCUUUUAAAAUCUUCCUUUCGCGCAUUGUCAUCGUCGACCGUGUUUAUCAGAAUUUCUCCAUACAAUUCCAUUUUUCCAUGUUGAUUGGCUAAUUGGAAAGCCUCGUCGUGGCAAUUCGAUAAAAUCAAAAACUUGAUCGCUGAAUUAUAGUCGUUCAUUUUCUGAAAAUAUUUCGCUACCAUUUUUGCGCCUUCCACGCUUUUCGUUUGUUGCACUACCUCCACGCUUCGUGCUGUAAAUGUUUCAAUAAUAAUUUCUUACACUGAACAUUGGCAAACAGAUUAAAAAUUGAGUUACCAGGAUUGUUCAAAUGUUCCAGAUUAAUCUUAAUUAUGUUUUCAAAAUCUUUCGCGGUCUCGUAUGCCUUGGCUGCUUCCUCGUAUUUGCCUUCAGCUUCCUUAGCUUUAGCAUACUGUAUGUUAAUUUUGGCAGAUGAUAUCUGUGGCAACAGUUGCCCCACCUUCUGCCAAUUCUUUAGUUUUAUAUAUGCGGAUGCUGCUUUGUCGAAGUACUCAGCUUUCUCAUACAGCAGUGCUGCUUCACUGAAUUGCUAUAAAAAUAGAGUACUGCCGCCUCAUCGCGAGCAAUCUCUACACUCUACUUUCCGAGCGUUUUUAUCCCCACCAUUUUAAUGCGCAUCCAGUUCCGCGCAGUUAGUUU